UGCCCAGCAAAUCCUAUCCCUAUCUCCUCGCGGUACUGGUCGGAGUACGAGCAACCUUAGGGAAGA
rnacentral:ribozyme from 1 species